CAGCAGCCGCGGGAAUACGUAGGUGGCAAGCGUUGUCCGGAAUUAUUGGGCGUAAAGGGCUCGCAGGCGGUUUCUUAAGUCUGAUGUGAAAGCCCCCGGCUCAACCGGGGAGGGUCAUUGGAAACUGGGAAACUUGAGUGCAGAAGAGGAGAGUGGAAUUCCACGUGUAGCGGUGAAAUGCGUAGAGAUGUGGAGGGACACCAGUGGCGAAGGCGACUCUCUAGUCUGUAACUGACGCUGAAGCACGAAAGCGUGGGGAGCAAACAGGAUUAGAUACCCCCGUAGUCCCUGUCUCUUAUAC
rnacentral:rRNA from 1 species